ACUCAGGCACGAUUCUCUCACUCUUAGCUGGGGGAAAGCGACCUGAAGUUCAAUCCUGAGGGA
ncrna:Corynebacterium sp. 239_CJEI L31-Corynebacteriaceae ribosomal protein leader